GCAGAGAAUAUUCUUGUUCUUGUAUUGAAUAUCAUGUGUCUUACAAAGUGAUAAGGGUCCCCUUAAUAUAGGAGGGGGAAUCCCAACAUAGUACAGGUACAUUUAUUAUAAAAAUAUACGGCUGGUACAGCCAUUUAAUGCCACGAUACGGACUUGUACUAUUCUUGUAGACCUGGUCAGCUCUAACCACGUGCCUUGAGAAUUUUUUGCUUGUCCAUCAUAGCCACCGAUUCGUACUGCCCCGAGGUCAAACAUAGAGAACCCUCGGGGUUGAACUCGAGCUAUGCCUCGAGCCUUCUUAGGUGGGCUAUGGAGUCUCAUAAUGAUCAUACAAUCGGACUCUUCGAUUUUAGCCAUAUACAACUACGAUAACCCCGAAGUCGAACUCUUCCGAUUUUGGCCGUAUACAAGGUUGAAGGAAAUAAAAAUGAAAUCUCGUGACAGGACAUGAAUAACAUUCUGCAAAGUUGCCAUCACCUAUAUUAAUCAUUGUCAACGUAUUUUCUAACUUCAAUCAUAAUCACCAUCAUACAUAGUACUAUAUUUAAUGUCUAGUAUAGAGCAGUAUCGCUAAAGAAAAGUGUACGCAAUCCAAAAUAUAUUAGUCAAGUAAGGACCUUUUAAAAAAUGUCCACAAAAACUUGAAAAACCCUCCUUAAUUUGAGAUAUCAUAUCCUAUGCUGGCUAGCCUUCUAAAAAAGAUCCCAGUUUUAGGCUUUGGGUGUGAUGUUGGUGAAUGAUUAACGAUUUCACAGUUUUCUACAUUUGCAAACAAAACCCACCAAUAAUUUGAGGCACAUUUCCUAUUAGUUGUCUAUUUAACUUUUCACUUCCAUAAGUUAUGGAGUUUAAUUGUUUUAUAGGAAUAACCACUAGAUUUAGAGGCAAAAUAUGAGAAUUUAAGAACAAUUUGGAUAUAAUUAAUUGUUUUGUUAAAAAAAUCAGAUUUAAGUUUAGCUUUCUAAAAAAGAAAGAUUUUUUAUAAAUAAAAAAUAUUGUGGGUGCCCNNNNNNNNNNNNNNNNNNNNNNNNNUGGGGGGCAGGGGGGUGAACGCAGGUGGAGUGCGGCGCGGGUGAAUGCGAUUUUAAAUCCUAUGCGGGGCGGGUUUAACUUUCACGGGUUGAGACAGAACCCGCCCCGCACCGUCCCACACUGCCUGCCGUUCCUACCUACGGAUCUUCGAAUCUCCUUCCGGACGCACUCCCAAUACCAGAAUCACUAUACGACGCUAUUUCCAGACUCGGAAUCUCUAACGAACAUUGGUAACAUUAAAAUGCACUCCAACCCAAAUUUAUGAAAUUUUUCCAAAAUUCUAACUUCCACAAUAGGUGCCGAAACGCUCCCGAGUCAUCCAAAACCCGAUCCAGACAUGCGCCCAAGUCCAAAUCAUCAUACAAACCUGUUGAUAACUCUCAAAUCCCGACUCCGAGGUCGUUUACUCAAAAUCAACCCUUAGUCGGUUUCUUCCAACUUUAAGCUUCCAAAAUGAGAAUUCUCUUUCCAAAUCAACUCUGAACUUCCGAAAUUCCAGUCCCGACCACAUGUACAAGUCAUAAUACCUUAAGUGGAGCUGCUCAUGGCCUCAAACUGCCGAACGGCGUGCUAGAGCUCAAAAUGACCGGCCGGUCAUUAUAUUCUCUCCCACUUAAACAUACGUUCAUCCUCGAAUGUGCUAAGAACUGCUCUAGAGGUGUCUGAAAUCACCGUUUAACACAUCAUGCACCUACCUGUGCUACCACAACUCUGUUGAGCACAUUAGCUCGAGCUUAUAUGAAUAUAUUCCCUUUUACUCAACCAAAUGGGCUUUAGAGCCCAAUUCCAACAUCCAGAAUUCUCUGCCAGGCCUGCUUCCAGCAUACGAACACCGUAUCAAUCACCACACGAUGUACCAAAACAUGACUGCAUACCUUUGCUGAAUUCACGCUAUGCACUGCCUAACUCUCAUGACCAUAAUAAUACCCUCUUAACAACAGCCAAAAUUCCACCAAUCUGAUGCUCCCAAUGUACCUUAUGACAUAUAUAAGUCUUGCCCCAACUUUUGCAAUACCGCCACGAUGGAAGUGGUGUGUAGAAAUUUAUAACAAACUGCCGAGUCAACAAAUUAUUAAGUCUAUACUCCUAACAAGAACCAUCACCCUCUGUACCAAAUAAUGGUAUUUGCUCUUUAAUGUGUACUUCAUAUAAAUUCGAUCGCACUGAUCCCAGGUCCGAUAAUCUCGUCUCACCCAGUAUAAGCUGCCCAAGCCAUAAGCCACCUCAGACACUGCCAAAAAUCUCAUAUAAUGCCGCAAUGUGCCAAUAAGCUACAAACCCGAAUGUGAUACAUAAGGAAAAUGAACUCUAGAAAGGAUUACUCAACCCGCAAUACUAAUUAGACAAUCGAAAAGGUGUCAUGAACCUUCCUCAGAAAAUGGAAAACAAAACACACAAAAAUAGCUAUAGGGGAUUGUGUAAGCACGUGAUUUUUUCCCUAUGAAAGAAUUACUCCCAAAAAAUUCAAAAUAAAACGAUUUUCCUUUGUGUGCAAUUUUGAGAAUUUUCGCGGCAUUUUAGGGUAAUUGAUUGUAUUUGUCCAUGCAUGUUUAUUUGUUAAAAUUAAUAAAAAUACAAAAAUAUGCCGCAUUUACAUUUAGGAUUUAAUUCUACAAUUAGGAGUAAUUAAGUUUGUUUUACAAGAAUGAAAAUUAUAAAAAUAUGUGUCGUUUGCAUUUUUAGCAUUCAAUGUCAAAUUGUGCAAUUUUGUUUUAAUGGGUGUUUAAUUAUGUGUGAUAAAUGUUGCUAGAAAUUAGUUAGUAUUUUUGAUAAGUUAAUUUAGUUUAUAACUUAAUUUAGAAUUUUAGUUUUAUUAAUUAGAAAGUAAAAGAAAAGAGAGCAAAAAAUAAAAAAAAAUCGUAAUUGGGCCUCUUCCUCAAUUUUGAACCUAGACCCAAAACACCUCUACCCAAACUAAAUAACCCCUUAUCCAACCCAAAGACCCAUCGGGUCGACCCGACCCGGUCCGCCCCAUAACCCCAAAUGACCCAACCUCCUAUCUUCACUUCAUUUUCAUUUUUUUUCACAAAAAACCCUAAACUUAAACCCAUCCGCCCCCCUCUCUCUUUCUCUCCAUCUUCUCCAAGCUUCCUCACGCCCCCAUCCAUGGCUGCCCUUACAUCAUCUUCUUCGACACAAGCACACACACACACAGCUCCACAACCAUCCACACUCGUCGACCACCAACAACCCCGCCUCGUCGUCGAAGCCAUGAACGAUCAACAACCCCGCCUCGUCGUCGAAGCCAUGAACGACCAACAACCCCGCUUCGACGAGCUCCAGCCAUGGACGACGUGAAACAGCCCCAACUAGCCCCGUCGCAACACAGCACCACCCUACUGCUUCAUCUUCUUCAUCGACCACCAUGAACGAACCCUUCAUCAGAACCCAAUACACCAUAGAAGAGAAGGCAGCUGCUUCAUAUGCUCCAUAGCAGCUAACGAAGCACACCCUCCACCAUCUUCCUCCUCCAGUUGCAAGCUCUAGCUCCACCAUGCCUGAGCUUCGUUGUUCACCUCCAGCCAAACACCAGCCACGCCGGAAAAACCCAGUGCUGCCCUCCCCGUCCGCCAUUAACAAGAUGCACCUGCUGCGUUGCUGCUGCCUUCUGCUUCGUCCAGCUUCGUUUGAUAUUUUCUUCAUCCAGCUUCGUCCAGCUUCGUCCAGCAUCUGCUUGUGCUGCGUUGCUGCUGCCUCAUCGAGCAUCUAAUUCAAAACAAAUUCUCCUCGCAACUGCUUCGUUUUUCAAACGACACCAAACAACCAUUUUCUUCGAUGGUCCGUUCGUGGUCGUCUUCGGCGUCGAGUUAUUUUGGUGCGAUAAUUGUUUCCGGGCAGAUUUGUUUUUGUUCGAGUUUAUCGUCGUUCUGAUCCGGUUAGUUGGUUUAAGUUUCAUUUCUGUCCAUAAUUUAUUUGAUAUUUUCGAAUCUGAAAUCAGAUAUGUUUGAUAUUAAUUUCGUGUUUAUCGUUUUGAUUAUUUUCUUCAGUUUGUUUCAUUUUUUCUUGUUUAUUUUUAUGUAGAAAUUGUUAGUUUAAUUAUAAUGUUGUUAGUUUUAAGUUUAAGUUCAAUUAAUUAUUUCUUCAGUUUGUUCUUAUUAAUUUAAAAGGAUUUAGUUUUUAAUAUAGAAAUAUGUUAGUUUGAUUACUGCAAUCCUUCGUCUUGACUGUAAUAUUGUUAGAUUUAGUUUGAAUUUGUGAUUGAAUUUAUUUAGGAAUUGGUUAUAUUUGCUGUAUUUUGGUUGGAAUUGAUUAGGUGAAUUGGUUAUAGCUGAUGGGGGUAGAUUGGUAAAUUGCAGUACUUUCAGGGGUAAAAUGAUAAUUUCAGUAAAGUCGGAGGGGUAUUUCUGGAAUUGAAAAUUUGAACAAUUAUUUAAUCUGAGUGCUCCGUCCACUAGACAUUAAUAAUAUUGAAAUAGUACAUGGUGGGGGACAAGGGAAUUAAAUAAGAAAAACAUUAAGUAGUGGGGGCAAGACAUGCAAUUAGGGGAAUAGUUCGGGUUAGUGGUUCAAGACAAGAGUUUUGCUAAAAAUAAGAGUAAUUUUUGACAUAGGAGGAGGACAUUUUUUGAGGAGAAGACAUUUUUAGGAGGAGUUUUUAGAGAGAGGAUUUUUGGGAAGAGGAAGACAUUUUGAAAAUCUCAAGAGAGUGUUGGAGAGUUUAAAAAGAGAAAACAAAAACAAAGUGAGAGAGGAGUUUAGUUUCGGGUUUAAUACACGCCUGUUUAGUCUGUUUGUGGUAAUGUUGGUUGUUGCUGUUUAGUUUUUUCAUAAACUUUUGGGGCUGUUCUAUCGAGCUUGUUUGGUUUUCUUCAAAUUUUUCUGAGCCUUGAAUCUGGUUCGAAUUGCUGUUGUUGGGUUGCUGUUGCGUUGCUGUGUUAUUACUGCUACUGACUCCUCCUUCUUUUCUUCUUGUAUUGCCAUUUCUAGGUACACAUUUAUACACUUUUGGCUUGAGGCAAAAUGAAGUAUUGACUAGGCUUUGUUCCUGUUGAAUUCCUCCUGUUUAGAUUUGUGCUUGAAUAGAGUUUUCCUUUCUUUGUAUAAAAAUGUAGUUGACUGAUUAAUGAGUAAUGGGGUUGCAUAUGUAUAAUAACUCCUUCAUCUAAUAAUGUCAGUUUAAAUUAAUUAAAGAAUAGUUAAUUUGUUUUGAUAUUAUUGUGUNNNNNNNNNNNNNNNNNNNNNNNNNNNNNNNNNNNNNNNNNNNNNNNNNNNNNNNNNNNNNNNNNNNNNNNNNNNNNNNNNNNNNNNNNNNNNNNNNNNNNNNNNNNNNNNNNNNNNNNNNNNNNNNNNNNNNNNNNNNNNNNNNNNNNNNNNNNNNNNNNNNNNNNNNNNNNNNNNNNNNNNNNNNNNNNNNNNNNNNNNNNNNNNNNNNNNNNNNNNNNNNNNNNNNNNNNNNNNNNNNNNNNNNNNNNNNNNNNNNNNNNNNNNNNNNNNNNNNNNNNNNNNNNNNNNNNNNNNNNNNNNNNNNNNNNNNNNNNNNNNNNNNNNNNNNNNNNNNNNNNNNNNNNNNNNNNNNNNNNNNNNNNNNNNNNNNNNNNNNNNNNNNNNNNNNNNNNNNNNNNNNNNNNNNNNNNNNNNNNNNNNNNNNNNNNNNNNNNNNNNNNNNNNNNNNNNNNNNNNNNNNNNNNNNNNNNNNNNNNNNUUCACAUUCUUUUUAAAAUAUAAUAAUAAAAGCGGUAAAGAGUUAAAACUUGCACAUGAGCUCAUAAUUGUAUAAAAUCAGAUAAACAAGCCGAAUAUGACAGUUGAGCGACCAUGCUAGAACCACGGAACUCGGGAAUGCCUAAAACCUUCUCCCGGGUUAACAGAAUUCCUUAUCCGGAUUUCUGGUUCGCGGACUGUAAUACAGAGUCAUUCUUUUCCUAGAUUCGGGAUUAAAUUGGUGACUUGGGACACCCUAAAUCUCCCAAGUGGUGACUCUGAAAUAAAUAAACAAAUCCCGUUUCGAUUGUCCUUUAAUUGGAAAAACUCCUUCACCCCUUGUGGGGGCGGAAAAAGGAGGCCUGACAGACUGUACACAACAUCACAUUGUUGCAGUGUACAAACUAAUCCAAACAAUAUACCCGUGGCGGCGCGCCACCCGAUCCACACACAAAAUCGACGUAAGAAGAUACUUACCGGGCUAGAACUCUCAUAUCUACAAAAUGCUCGAAUAUUGGCCAUAAGCACGCCAAGUGCAUAAUACCAUCCCCGAGGAGACAAAUAGUGUCGUACGCUACAAAACUCAAGCUCAACUAAUGUGCAAUAUAUAUUAUCUGCAUCUUGACAGCCAUCCUGCUCACAUAACACCAUUCCUGCGUGGAACCUCAACACAUGAAAUUAAAAAGCCAUUUCACAACUCACACAUCACAAUAUAGUAUUACAUGAAGUAGCCAGUGACAAAUUAACAUCCAACAUCCGAAUUCCUCCACAAGGAGCGUUAUGCUAAAAUGAACACCUCCACUCCGACAUAGAGCCCAUAUUCAUAUCUAGAUCCACUCAUGGACCUCAAGCCGAUUAGGAUCGCACCGUACUAGUCUAAUAAACUUUUAAGGGUUCAUAAUAACCCUUUUCCCAUAACACACAUGGAUAACUAUCAUAUUUGAAACGAACCUCCACAGUCCACAAUCAAAUGAACAGAGCGCCCUCCAAGCAUAAAUUCUCAUAUGAACAAUAGUACCACAAUCUCCAUACAUGCCACACUUAUACAAUCUUCCCGUGGGACAUUCUCCCACGCCCUUCCACACCAGAUAACAGUUUGCACACCCAUACCACCGGCCACACAAAUGUUGUAAAGCAAAUCAAAAAUCCGAAAUCAGCACUCAAAGCCUCUUACACAGAACGCCGAUCUCUGGUGAUGCUAGAGACAAUACCGUCUUACUCUAACCAUCUGAAUCCUUUCCUGCUCAUCCGAGUUCUUGUAAUUCUUGUCGGCACCAAACUACAACCUUGAUCCUCAACUUCUGAAUCCCAUGCCGAUCACUGCACAUAAUCAUGCCAAUGCACAAGAGUACAAUAAUUCCAUAUUAACUUCUGGACUAAUGUUUGGGUAAAUACUUCAUCAUAUAGAAACCUUUUACUUAACUCAUUUCAAGAGAACCAUUGCAACACGUGACUGAAUCCUCGUAUCCGCAGAAAAUACCAAUCUCAAGUAGUGGUCUAAACCACCAUAACCCUUUGGAGAUCCAUCUGCACAUAACAGGCUAUAAUACUCGAAAGCCUCAUAAUAAGAUCAGUUACGGCGACCGUCAAACCUCGCAUGUACCAUCACAAAUCACAUGAGUAAAUCAACACGCUGAAAGAGCUGAUCAUUGCCAUCAUCAUGCCGAUUCAACAUUUGCUAACCAAUCCGACUUCUUCUAAUUCACCCUGGACUUGCCUUAGGAAUAAUAAUAGCUACAUUCAAAACAUAGCAAACUCAAUGCACACUCGUCCUGAGUGACCCCAUUUCUCAAGACCACAUUGCCUCAAAACCCACGAACCAUUUCAUACCCUCUUUGUGCGCAUAAUCACGUCUUCAAGUGGUACACCCAUUCUGACUUAGUUCCUAAUAAUAAUCAACUCCAAGGCUCUUCUAGCACAUGGACACUCUCUCAAUGAAGUACAUGACUGAAUCACUUCCCUUGUAAAUCACCUUCGUACGAAGCAUAAAUCCUGAAUCUUCCCAAAGCCUAACAAUGAGUCAAUAAGGCCAACUAUAUCAUACCUUUAUCAAUUCCUUUGCUCAAAUUACCAUUUAUGUUCUUUUCCCCUAGCUGUAAUAACUCACCAAUAUGCCGAUAACCCAAAGCCUCACAAGUAGAUAACCAUGCGACCCAAUCGUAGGCGGUGGGACUCUCCCACUUAGCUUGAAGCUACUAUUACACAACUCUGGAACCCACCAAGAUUCUUUCAUCAUUGAUGACAUGAUGUUGCACAACCAACCCGCAAAAUUCAUCGAAAUCCUUAUGUUUGACCUUUCAUGAACACUCUGAAUCACUAACCACAUUCACCUAUUCGACCUCUUAUCGUAUGGCCAAUAGAAUUCUUCGCAGAAGCUUCGCCAACACCACACGACCACUAACAUUCUCACAGGAGAUAAUCCACCUGUGGAAAUUACAUGUUGACAUCUCCCAAGGAUGUUGCACUACAUAAUUACUAUGAAAUCCGUAACCUAUCCUGAGCCCAUUCUCAUUCACAAGCUAUACAAACCCAUUCACUCCUCAUGGACGCCAACUAAAUGUGCGACAAUAUCCUCUAAUUCAAAGUCAUAUUGUAUCCUUCUUCAUAUCAAGUAACCCCUUUCUGUCGCAUCAAUCUCCCGUCAUAUAAUAGCCAAUAUUCCAAAUUGAGUCCAUAGACCCAGUCACUGUCCACCCUGAAUCCCAAAUCGCUCUAGACCUUUUCUCAGGGUGUGUAGUCGUCCUACCACAGAACCCAUAUGCUACUCUGCCACUCUCCCGCUUCUGUCUAACUAACUCCUUUAAGCAAUCGUUCGACUCCCGUUCCUCACUCUUGACCUUAAAGAAAAUUUAACCACUGCAAGGCACCCCCCUCACAUAUACUUCCUCAUCCUUCGCUGCCCAGUUGUUUCCUUAAAGGAAAAUUUAUUUCUGUAGCACUUGAACCAAUAGAUCAUUACUAACUUUAAACCCCUUCAAAGGUCAUCUUUCUCUAGUCAUCAACACCAGGAACACCGAUUCACUCCUGAAUCACUGCAGAUCGCGAUCUCUAAUAGUCGCUUCCCCGAUAGUAUUCACAAUACUAUACCCCAAAGGCGAAUUGAAGAAGACCAUAACACCGGCGAACUUAACUCAUUUAAUCACGGAUGAUGACAUCAUAUUACAGAUGAAAAUUCCACCAUGUCCGAAAAUACCAAGUCUCAUUACUCCAUCAAUCCAAAUUUUAACAUUCUUAGUCCAAUUGCCUUUCCUCCAUCAGAAAUAAAACACUGUAUCUCUGUAUCAUGCUCUGAGCAGACCUUCUUUCAAUCCAUUCACUACCCCGACUCAUAGGCAAGCAUCUCACCAUCACAUCAAUACUAUGCGAUAACAACUCAUGAGCACCAUGGCAACCUGUGCAUAGCCCCAAAGCUCUCAAAAGUACAACUACUGAGCUGAAAUGACGGAAUACUCUUCCGAAAGGAGACGACAAUAGCCCAAUCAAUUAAAUAGGGGAAACGUCUCGCACUGCAUCUAUAGUAUCAUUACAGUUCCACAACUCGAUCGAUAGCAAGCGCUUCACAUCGCUUAAGAUUGAGUAGGAAAGAAACAAAGGCAUAAGCCUCAAAGGAAUCAAACCCCAUGAUGAGGAAUCAAGAAAGGAAGUGCUCCUAACAGCCCUGUAGCCUCUCGAAGAUAAGUACAAACGUUUCCGUACUAGACCCGCUCAUGACUUGUGAGACCUAGUGCUCUGAUACCAUGUUGUCACGAUCCAAAUUUCAUUAAAGGUCAUGAUGGUGACAGACACCACUGCCAGGCAAGCCAACCAUAAACAAUCAAUUUAGUUCUCGUUUUAGUAUUUUUGAAAUCAUGAUUUUCUUCAAUUUAAUAGUAAAAAAUGGAAUUUACAGAAUAAAUAAUAAUGUUUUAACAAUUUCAAUACUGAAUAACCCAUAAUCAUCCCAAACCCGGUGUCACAAGUGCACGAGCAUUUACUUAGGAAUAAAUACAAUAACUAUCCGGAAUAUAAUUUGGACAAAUAGGGAAAUACCAAUACUCUCAAGGAGACUCUGCUGGCUGCGGAUCACGCAUAAGAUGUAGCUCGUCUAAGUACCUGUGUCAACCAAGUCGCUGCAUCCACAAGACCACUAAAUGUAUAUAUGACCGUACAACAAAAUAUACAACAAGUGUAGUAUGAGUACAAAAACAACGCGUACCCAGUAAGUAUCCUAUCUAACCUCGAAAAAGUAGUGACGAGAGGUCGACUUUGACACUUACUAGUGGUCUAAUAAUAUCAGGUACAGUAAAGAAGUGAAUAAAUAUGAAACAGAAUAAAUAUAUUAAGUAAACAUGUAUAAAAUAUGUGGUACAAUUGCCCUCUUUACAACUUUAAUCAAGCUCGCAAUUAGCAAGUUUCCCUCUGCAACUGGAGCAUAUAUAUAUAUAUAUAUAUAUAUAUAGUGGAUAUCAUCAAGAGCUUGUCAUAAUUCAAAUCAGAAAAAAAUCCCUUAGAUACACUGGCCUCUAACCAAAUGUUACGCACGAUUCCAUGAGAAUAAUAUAUAUAUAGGAGAUGCCGAGGCGUACGACCCGAUCCGACAUAAAAGUAAACUUUGCACUGCCGAGGGUCGAGUGGCACGAACCAUAGAUGCAUCUAUUAACCUGCCGAGGCAAACGGCCCGCUCCCAUGAGAGCGUGGUACAUAAAUCCCGGCGAGGCAAAUGGCCCAAUCCCAUAAGUGUAGUAGAAUGAAAUACCCCGCUUGCGAAUCAUACAUGCUACGCGGACAAAUAUAAAUUUAACAUUAAAAUCCGAUCUCCUUCUUGAUUCUUUUCAAAAUAAGGGAAAUUCAGCUUGUAGCUUUUUAAGGAAAUUACCCCCGCUCGCCAAUCAUACAUGCGGCGCGGUUACUCAUAGAUUUCUUAAGCAAUUAUAAUAUUUCUCAAUUCUUUUCGAAAAUACGAAGUUUAAUGGAAACUUUUAAAAUCAUAAAUUCCUAAAUUCAAAUUCCUUUAAACACAAUUAUUACGCAACCUUAAUCUUGUUUCUUCUCAAGACAAACAAUAAACGUAAAUUAACAACAAUAUCAACUAGGCAUGAUAUGAGCCUACAACUACCCGGGCAUGGGCAUAGCUAGUAGCUACAUACGGACUCUCGUCACUUCGUGCGUAUGUAGCCCCCCCCCCCCCCACAAAUAGGAUCACAUAAUAAUUUAGUUCACCUAUGACGUUUAUUCCCUCUUACAAGGUUAGAAAGGAAACUUUCCUGACUCCGAAGUUCCAUAACCGGCUUCCAAGCCCUUCCAACGACUCAAACCUAUGCUCGACGCUCCGAAACUAGCCAAUAAUUAUGCAAACCCAUUAAUAUACGCUUGAAUACUCAUAACAAUUCAAUUUACAACAAAUUCCUAGCUCCGAUCGGAAAAUCGAUAAAAUCACCCUCGGGUCCACGUGCCUAGAUUCCAAAAUUUUUCGAAGAUAAACUUUACCCAUAACCCCACGAACUCAAAUAUAUAAUUUGUUUCCAAUUCCAUGCCCAAAUUUGUGGUAAAAAUCCAAAAAUACCAAAUUUUAGGUUUUCUAGGAAAACCCACAAUCUCCACUAAUUUCCAUGUUCAAAUCCAUAUAUAAUCAUGCUUUUAACUCAAAACUAGUAUAAACCACUUACUUCAUGCUUGGUGAUAAAAAUGGCACUCCCAAGUUGCUCCAAAAAUUGGCUCCCAUGAAAGAUUUGAGAUGAAAUGAGCCAAAUCCCGUCUUUUAAAUAAACACACUGCCCAGCGAUUCUUUGCACCUGCGGUCACUUGACCGCUUCUACAGUUUUGCAGGUGCGUACAAUAUACUACUUCUGUGUCCAAGGCUCCCAGCCUAUUUCCGCUUCUGCGCCUUCUCUUCCACAUGCACGGUCUCACUUCUGUGGCGAGAUGACCGCAUCUGUGGUCCCAUCACUCCUAGCCAAAAUCUCAUCUUUGACCCUCAUGGCCGCUUCUAUGGCUCCGCACCUGCGGCUAAAACCUCGUAGGUGCGGUUACACCAGGCGACAACAACCCUCAGCCUUUCUUCGAAGUCCAACUCGAUCCAUUUACCAUCCGGAUCCCACCCGAAGCCCUUGGGACCUUAACCAAAUAUACUAACACGUCCCAAAUCACAUUACGAACUUAGUCGAGCCUCCAAAUCCAAUCAAACAACAUCAAAAUCACGAAUCACAAUUCAAUUCAAGCUUAAUGAACUUUAGAACUUCAAACUUCAACAUCCGAUGCCGAAACCUAUCAAAUCUCCUCCGAUUGACCUCAAAUUUUGCACACAAGUCAGAUUUAACAUUACGGACCUACUCCAACUUCUAGAAUCAGAAUUAGACCCUGAUAUUAAAAGUCCUCUUCCGGUCAAUCUUCUUAAAAACCUUCAAAUUACUAACUUUAGCCAAAUGACUCCAAAAUGACCUACGGACCUCUGAAUCCACUUCCGGACAUGCUCCCAAUACCAGAAUCACGAUACGGCGUUAUCCCUAGACUCGGAAUCCCCAACAGACAUCGAUAACAUUGAAAUGCACUCCAACCCAAAUUUAUUAAAUUCUUCCAAAAUGCUAACUUCCACAAUAGGCGCCGAAACGCUUCCGGUUCAUCCAAAUCUCGAUCCGGACAUACGCCUAAGUCCAAAAUCAUCAUACAAACUUGUUGAAACCCUCAAAUCCUAACUUCAAGUUUGUUUACUCAAAAUCAGCCCUUAGUCGGUUUCUUCCAACUUUAAGCUUCCAAAAUGAGAAUUAUCUUUCCAAAUCAACUCUAAACUUCCGAAAUUCAAGUUCCGACCACGCGUACAAGUUAUAAUACCUUAAGUGGAGCUGCUCAUGGCCUAUAAUCGCCAAACAAUAUACUAGAGCUCAAAAUGACCGAUUGGGUCAUUACUAUUUCCCAGCUAGUUUUUGUGUAGUUAAGGCGGAAUUGGGAGUUUGAUUCUAGGGAUUUGGAGAGUUAAUUUGGGGAUUUAGGUGACGAUUUGGUGUCGAAUUUUGGUAAAUUUGGUAUGGUUGGACUCGUGGUUGAUUGGGCUUUCAAAUUUUGUGAUUUUUAUAAGAUUUCGAGAUGUGGGCCCAGGGGCCAACUUUUGAGUCGACUUUUUGACUUUUGAAUAAGAGUUUAGUAUUUUCUUAUGGGAUUGGUUCCUUUAGAUCGUGUUUAUUGUAUCGAAUUGUUUGUGGCUAGACUCGGGACAUUCAGAGACCGUUUCAGGAGGCAAAGGCUUGUUGGAGUAGGGAUUGCAUGGGUUGAGGUAAGUAACAGUCCUAAAGUUGGUUCUAAAGGUAUGAAACCCCAUAUUCUCGACGGAGUUUGAUCGUUUUGAGAUCCCAAGGUAGCUGGUUGGCGUUAGAAGGUCUUGUCUCUCCUUCAUUGUCUUACCACUUUAUGUAAUUAGUUUCAGACUAUCAUAGAUAGUAUUUCCAAACUUGUGCUGUAUAAACACUCAUGUACAUAGUGACAUCCCAAUGUUGGGAAUUUUCCGUAUUUGGGUUUUGACCUUCUACCCAGUUUUUGAGAGUUUGAUGAUUUAAACUUGUGCUAUUUUAUUUUUCAUUUAAAAGUAUUGGAAGUAUUUUGAAGUGUCAGCUUGCCUAGUACCAUGUUAGGCGCAUCAUAAUACGCUAUGUUUUGGGUCGUGACAAGUUGGUAUCAAAUCCUAGGUUAUAUAGGUCUCACGAGUCAUGGUUGGCUUAGUAGAGUCUUGGGGAUCGGUACACAGAUGUCUGUACUUAUCAUCGAGAGGUUGUCAAACCCUUAGGAAACUUUACUUUCCUGUAUUCUUAUCGUGCAGAUUUGUUGUUUUCGGUAACUAAUCUUCUAAUAUUCUAUUCUCUCACAAAUGGUGAGGAAACGUGCUAUCGGACAGGAUAAAAAUCCACCAGUACCACCAGCUAGGGCUAUGAGAGGCCGAGGUCCUAGUAGGGGACGCGGUAGGGGCAGAGGUGCAGCUCAUACAACAACUAGAGCAGCGCCUGCAGAUCCACCGGUUUCUCUAACUUAAGAGCAUAUGCCGGAUGUGGUUGAGCCAAUGGGGCCAGAUCAAACACUAGUUGUGCCCAUUGUGAUUCCAGGCCUUCAGGAGGCUUUGGCUUAGAUUUUGACUGUAUGCAAUAGCCUUACACAUGCGGUCUCUAUUACAACCGCAACAACCACUUCUCACACCAAGGGAGGUACUUAGACUCCCACUGCCCGUAUUCCAAAGUAGGUGAUAUAGUGGCUCCAGAUAGCAGGGGUACUACCAGCCCAACCGGUUGCAGCUGCUCAGGCCCAGGUAGGUCCCAUUAUGACUGAUGAUGAGCAACGAAUAUUUGAGAUAUUUGGGAGGCUGCAACCUCUAUCAUUUAGCGAGGCUGAGUUAGCGGAUGCCUAGGGCUUCUUGGAUAAGUUCUAGAAGAUUCUUCGCACGGUAGGUAUUAUAGAGACCAGUGGGGUCUCGUUUAUUACUUUUUAGUUUACUGGGGAUGCAUUCAUAUAGUGGGAGACUUAUGAGAGGUGCAUGCCGGUCGGUGUAGCACCAGUUUCAUGGUAGGAGUUCUCCGUUCUCUUCUUAGAGAAGUUCAUGUUAUAGUCUCGCAGGAAGGAGUUAUACAGAUGGUUUGAGCAGAUACAUCAGGUGGGCAUGUAUGUGACCUAGUACGAGAUGAGGUUUUCAGAGUUGGCUUGUCAUACAGUUUGGUUGAAUCGCACUGAUAGGGAGAGGAUUAAGAGGUUUAUUGAUUUCACAUAUUAGUUGUGGUUGCUUAUGACUUGGGAGAGGGUAUCUGGUGCUAUUUUCGAUGCGGGGGUUGAUAUUUAUCGGUAAAUAUAGAUGGUCCGUAGUCAGGAGCGUGAAGAGAGGGAGGCCAAGAGGCCACAACGAUGCUUAUGUAUGCCACAAGGAUGCUUAUGUAUUAUUUGACCUUGGUUCCAUUUAUUCGUGUGCAUCAUCAUAUUUUGCUCAUUUUCUGGAUAUGGUGAGUCCUUAGUUUCAUCUGUUAAUGUAUCUACAUCGGUAGGAUAUACCAUUAUUGUGGAUUGUGUAUAUCAGUCGAGUGUAGUGACUAUUAGGGGAUUGGAGAUGAGAGUUAACCUCUUAUUGCUUAGUAUGGUUGAUUUCGAUGUGAUCAUGGGUAUGGAUUGGUUGUCUCUAUGUCAUGAUUUUUUGUAUUGUCACACUAAUAUUGUGACGUUGGCGAUACUAGGUUUUCUAUGGAUUGAGUGGAGAGAUUCUCUAGCCUAUGUUCCCAGCAGAGUGAUUUCAUAUUUAAAGACCCAAUUGAUGGUUGGGAAGGGGUGUCUGUCUUAUUUGGCCUUUGUGAGGGAUGUGGGUGCUGAUACCCCUACUAUUUAUAUUGUUCCGGUGGUGCGAUAAUUUCCAGAUGUGUUUCCUACAGACCUACCGACAUGCCACCUGAUAGGGAUAUUGACUUUAGUAUUGACUUGGUGCCAGGCACUCAGCCCAUUUCUAUUCCUCCGUAUUGUAUAGUACCAGUUGAGUUGAAGGAAUUGAAAUAGCAGCUUCGGGAACUUCUUGAUAGGGGUUUAUUAGGCCUAGUGUGUCGCCUUGGGGUGCACCGGUUCUGUUUAUGAAGAAGAAGGAUGGUACUAUGAGGAUGUUCAUCGAUUAUAGGUAGUUGAAAAAAGUUACAAUCAAGAACAAGUAUCCUUCUUCACAUAUUGAUGAUCUAUUUGACUAGCUUCAGGGAGCGAGAGUGUUCUCUAAGAUCGAUCUGAGUUUUGGGUAUCACCAGUUGAAGAUACAUGACUCGAAUAUUCUAAGAUGGCAUUUAGGACCGUUUAUAGUCAUUAUGGGUCAUUUGUGAUGUCUUUUGGGCUAACCAACACCCCAGCAACAUUCAUGCAUAUGAUGAAAUAUGUAUUUCAGCCUUAUCUCGACUCAAUUGUCAUUGUAUUCAUUGGUGAUAUCCUAAUGUACUCUCGUAGCAAGGAGGAGCAUGCCCAACAUUUGAGGAUUUUGUUGCAGCGGUUGGGGAGGAGAAGCUUUAUGCCAAGUUCUCCUAGUGUGAGUUUCGGCUCUGUUUUGUGGCGUACUUACGGCACGUAGUGUCUAGUGAGGGGAUUCAGGUGGAUCCAAAGAAGAUAGAGGCGGUUCAGAGUUGGCCUAGAUCGUCUUCAGCUACGGAGAUUCAGAGUUUUCUUGGUUUGGCCAGUUAUUAUCGUCAUUUCGUGGAGGGUUUCUCGUCUAUUGCAUCGUCUUUGACCAAAUUGACCAAGAACGGUGCUUCUUUCAGGUGGUCAAAUGAGUGUGAAUACAACUUUUAGAAGCUCAAGACUGCCUUUAACAUAACUCCAGUUCUAGUUUUACCUUCAACUUUAGGCUCCUAUACAGUGCAUUAUGAUGCUUCUCGAAUCGGUAUUGGGUGUGUCUUGAUUCAAGAGGGUAGAGUGAUUUCUUAUGUUUUGUGCCAGUUGAAGACCCAUGAAAAGAACUACCCUAUCACGAUUGGGAGUUGGCUGUCAUCGUCCAUGCAUUGAAGAUUUGGAGACAUUAUCUCUAUAGUGUGCCUUGUGAGGUAUUAUAGAUCACCAGAGUCUCCAACACUUGUUCAAACAAAAGGAUCUAAAAUUGAGGCAGUGGAGAUGGUUGGAGCCGUUGAAGGAUUUUUGAUAUCACCAAUCUGAAUUAUGCUAGAAAGGCCAAUGUGGUGGCAGAUGCCCUGGGUAGAAAGGUGGUGAAUAUGAGUAGCCUUGCAUUCAUUCCUGUUGGUGAGAUACCUCUUGUAGUUGAUAUUUAGUCAUUGGCUAACCAGUUUGUGAGAUUAGAAGUUCUGGAGCCUAGUCAAGUUCUGGCUUGUGUGGUUUCUCGGUUUUCCUCAUGUGAUUACAUCAGAGAGUGCUAAUAUAAUGACCCGCAUUUGCUUGUUCUUAAGGACAUGGUUUAGCACGGUCAUCCCAAAGAUAUUACUAUUGGGGAUGAUAGGGUGUUAAGGAUGCAUGGUUGGAUUUGUGUGCCUAGUGUAGAUAGGCUACGUGAGUUGAUUCUUGAGGAGGCCCAUAGUUCUCAGUAUUCCAUCCAUCCCGGUGUUGCAAAGAUGUACUAGGACCUGAGGCAACAUUAUUGGUGCUGGAGAAUGAAGAAGGAAAUAGUAGGGUUUGUAGCUCGGUGCCUUAACUGUCAGCAGGUGAAGUAUGAGCAUAAGAGACCGAGUGGAUUUCUUCACAAGCUAGAUAUUCACCAGUGGAAAUAGGAGCGGAUCACCAUGGAUUUUAUAGUUGUGCUCCCACAGACUUUGAAUAAGUUCGAUGCUAUUUGGGUGAUUGUGGAUUAGCUAACCAAGUCCGCGCACUUCAUUCUAGUUGGGACUACUUAUUCUUCGGAGCGGUUGGCUGAGAUUUACAUCCGCAAGAUCGUUCGCCUUCACGGUGUGCCAGUGUCCAUCAUUUCAAAUUGGGAAACGCAAUUUACCUCAUAGUUUUGGACAGUCGUACAACAAAAGUUGGUUACCCAAGUUGAGUUGAGUACACCAUUUCACCCUCAUAUGGACGGACAGUAUGAGCAUACUAUUUAGAUAUUGGAGGACAAGCUACGCGCUUGUGUCAUUAAUUUCGGGGGUUCAUCGGACCAGUUUCUGCCACUCGCGGAGUUUGCCUACAAUAACAACUACCAGACAAGCAUUCAGAUAGAUCCAUAUGAGGUUUUGUAUGAGAGACAGUGUCGAUCUCCGGUGGGUUUGUUUGAGCCCGGUAAGGCCAGGCUGUUGGGUACUGAUUUGGUUCAGGAUACUUUGGACAAGGUUAAAUUGAUUCAGGAUUGGCAUUGGGCGCAAUGUAGACAGAAGAGUUACGCUAAUAGAAAUGUUCAUGAUGUUGCUUACAUUGUUGGGGAGAAGGUACUGCUCAAGGUUUCACCCAUGAAGGGUAUUAUGAGAUUCGGGAAGAAGGGCAAGUGUAGCCCUCGGUAUAUUGGGUGUUUUGAGGUGCUUCAGAGUAUUGGAGAGGUGGCUUACAAUCUUUUCUUGUCACCUAGUUUGUCGAGUGUGCAUCCAGUAUUUCAAGUAUCUAUGCUUCAGAAGUAUGUCAAUGAUCCGUCUCAUGUUUUGGAUUUUAGCAUGGUUCAGUUAGAUGGUGAUUUGACUUAUGAUGUGGAGCCGGUAGACAUUUUGGGUCAGCAGGUUAGAAAGUUGAGGUAAAAAUACAUAGCUUCAGUGAAGGUGCAGUGGAGAGGUCAUCUAAUGAGGAGGCUACUUGGGAGACUAAGGGGGAGAUGCGGAGAAGAUAUCCACACCAAUUUGAGACCCCAGGUACAUUUCUAUACCCGUUUGAGGAUGAACAUUUGUUUAAGAUAAGGAGCAUGUAAUGACCCAGCCGGUUGUUUUGAGAGUUGUAGCCUUGUUCCCCUAUUUAGUGAUCAUUUUGUGCUUUAUAGUUGUUAUGCGACUUGUCGGGGUAAUUAGUUCGGGUUCGGAGUGAUUUUGGAAUGAAACGAGACACUUAGUCUCAAGGUUAGAAGCUUAAAUUAAAAAGAUUGACCGGAUGUUGACUUUUGUGUAAAUGACAUCGGAUUGCAGUGUUGAUGGUCCCGUUAGCUCCGUGGGUGAUUCUAGACUUAAGAGCAUGUCCGUAGUGAUUUGGAGGUCUGUAGUUGAACUAGGCUUGAAUUGGCGAAAGUUGAAAAUUUGGAUGUUUGACCGAGAGUGGACUUUGUGGUUACCAGACUCACAUUGGGGUUCAGGGAAGUGGAGUAGGACCGUGGUGUCAUUUGUGACUUGUAUGCAAAAUUUGAGGUCAAUCGGACGUGAUUUGAUAGAUUUCGACAUUGUUUGUAGAAGUUGGAUUUCUUUAGUUUCAUUAGGCUUGAACUGGGGUGCGAUUCAUGUUUUUGAUAUUGUUUGAUGUGAUUUGAAGGAUCGAAUAAGUCUGUACCGUGUUUUAGGACUUGUUGGUAUGUUUGGUUGAGGUCCCGCGGGUCUCGGGUUAAUUUUGGAUGGUUAACAGCUCGAAUUUGGAGUUUGAAAGAUUGCUGAAGCUGGGAGUCUUUUGGUGCAAUCGCACAUGUAGAGCUUUCGUCGCAGGUGCGAGAUGGGGAGUUCAAAUUCUGCCAGGAGUGGGGGAAGACUAUGCUCGCAGGUGCAAAGGAUUUUCCACACCUGCAUGGUCGUAGAUGUAGCCUAAUGGGUGUGGAAGCGGAGUUUGGCCAGUGGGUAGUUCGUGCAGGUGCGAUGGGAAUUCUGCACCUGCGACUGCGCAGAUGCGAGGGCAGGAUCGCAGAAGUGGAGGUCCAGUUCCAAUGGUUCAUAGCAAAAGUGAGAGGAUUGUCGCUUCUAUGAUAUUGCAGAUGUGGUUAUGUUUCCGCAGAAACAAAAAGGAGGGACAGAACCUUAAAUUCACGGGUUCGCGAUUUUUCUUAAUUUUAAACAUUUUAACCUUUGGAUUGGGCGAUUUUUGAGAGGGAUUUAAAAUGAAUUCUUGAGUUAAGUCACUUGUGCUCAUUUUUAGUCAACAAUCUUAUUUCCCCGUUGAAUUCCCCACCUAGCUUAUGUGCAUUUAAUGUGGAAUUGGGAGUUUGAGGCAAGGGGUUUGGAGGGUUAAUUGGGGAUCUGGGUGACGAUUUGGAGUCGGAUUUUGGUAAAUUUGGUAUGGUUGGACUCGUGGUUGAUUGGGCUUUCGGAUUUUGUGACUUUUAUCGGAUUUCGACACCUAGGCCCGAGGGCCAGCUUUUGAAUCGUCUUUUUGACUUUUGAUUUAGAGCCUAGUAUUUUCUUAUGGAAUUGAUUCCUUUAGCUCGUGUUGAUUGUAUCGAAUUUUUUGUGGCUAGAUUUGGGACAUUCGGAGGCCAUUUCAUGAGGAAAGGGCGUGUUGGGGUAGGGAUUGCAGGGGUUGAGGUAAGUAACAGUUCUAAAUUUGGUUCUGAGGGUAUGAAACCCCAUAUUAUGUGUCAUGUGAUUUGUUUUGAGGUGAUUCACAUGCUAGGUGGCGAGCGUGUGGACGUGCACCGUAGGAAUUGUGACUUGGUCGAUUCCAUGGAACUGUAUAGUUGAAAAAACUGUUGUUAUCUGUAUAUUCCCCAUGUGUUAUAGAAUUUGAACUGCAACUCAUGUUAGAAAUCAUGCUUAGACUAUGUGUUGGCACUAUAGGGACCCACAUAGGUCGUGUACAUGUUGAAUUAUAUGCUAAAUUGUUGUUUUGUAAGCCACAUUUUUACUUGCAUAUUAUAUCUCAGUCUAUAUUGUUCUUUAUUGAUACAUUAUAUCAGUGAUAUUUGGGCUAAAUAUCAUGAUUACUGAGAGCCCGAGCGACUAUAGAGCUUGAUGACUGAGUGAGGCCGAGGGACUGAUAGUGAGGAUAUUUAUUGGAUCGGGCUGCAUGUAGCAUCAUGUUUUGUUGAUUAAUGCCAUGAUUAGCUCGUUAUAGUGCUUGGGUUGAAGGAGCCCCUCCUGAGUCUGUACACACCCCAAGGGAGCGUAGGUACCUACUGAGUGCGAGUGCCGAGUGUGAGUAUUGAGUGCGAGUGCCGAGUGCGAGUAUUGAGUGCGAGUGCCGAGUGCGAGUAUUGAGUGCGAGUACUGAGUGCGAGUGUCGAGCAACUGGGAGAAAUGAGUGACUGUGAGGAUGAGUGACUGUAAGGCUGGAGUGAAUGGGAGGACUGAGUGACUGUUGCGCAGAGAUAAUGCAUUUGAUUUCAUUACUGUUGCACUUUAGCUACCAUAUAUCAUUGUCAUAUGAUUUCAGAGAGAUAUUAUUGUCACACCUCCUUUUUCUUACACCCCCGGAAGGGUAUAUAAGAGAGUUUUUUCCAACUUAAAGUGACAACCGAAACAAGAUCAUUUUAUUAAAAAUUCAUAGCCGCCACUUGGGAUAAUUUACGGUGUCCCAAGUCACCGGUUCAAAUCACGAAUCGAGGAAAGAUUGACUCCGUUUUACAGUUUGCGAACACAGAAAUCCGGGUAAGGAAUUCUGUAAACCUGGGAGAAAGUGUUAGAUAUUUCCGGAUUCCGUAGUUUUAGCACGGUCGCUCAACUGUUAUAAUUGGCCUAUUAUCUGAUUUUAAAAUACUUUUAAACCUAUGUGCAUUUUAACUUUAAACUGCCUUUAAUUAUUUUUAGGGAAGAUUCAACGUUACUUAAAACAUGCCUUGAACCACGUCACAUGAAAUGCACCCGCGGUCCCCGACACAUUUUAUUUAAAAUUGUUGAGAUUUGGAUUUGGGUCACAUAAAAUGCACACCCGAGUUUAAGGAAAUUAAUUUAAAUUAUGCUCCUAAAGCAACUACGCAUUUUCAAUUUGCGAGGGCCAUGGAAAAUUCAACUAAAUGGCGUACCUCGAUUUCUAAAGGAUUAAAAUUAGUUAAGUGAGGGCCAUGCGUUUGAGAUUUUAUUUGGCACGACACACCUCGAUUCCAAUUUUAAAAGGAAACUCAAACUAAGCUUUUGAGGGCCAUAAACUAUAUUUUACUUAAUAUGGCACACCUCCAAUCUAAUUGUCUAAAAAUUCCUUAUUUUAAAAUUAUGAGGGCCAUAGACUAUUUGUGUUUUCUAAUAUGGCACGCCCCAUCUAAAUAAAUAAAUUAUUAUUUUUCUAAAUCGUAGCUAAAAGCCCUUGAUUGCUCAAUUUACCCAAAAACUAACGAAGGCUUCAUAUUUUCGUAGCCAGAUUGCCCACGGCCCACUUCAAUGCCUUUGAGAUGGAUUGAUUUACAAAUACCAAUUUAAGAUUAAAUAAUCAAAUCCCAAAACAACAACUAUAGAGCAACAUGCGUUCUUCCUCUACUUAAACAUGAUUAAAUAUUUUGAUAAACUAAUAACAUUCAUUGUAUAAAUAUAUAUGAGGCAGAGUAAUACACAAAAAUAUAUGUAUAAUGAUAAAAAUGGAAUAGAAAAGUAAAGAAUUAACCUCAGCUGCUUUCCUUUUUAAAUAGCAAAAUUCAAUUACUGCAAACUUUGGUGAGCUAGAUGCUACUGGGAAAUGAAAACAGGAACUAGCUUGAACCGUGAACUCGUCGGCAACCUCGACUCAAUAGGAAACGGAGUUUUCGAGAGAAUGAAAUCGAUUAGAGCUCAGCAUCUAUGGAGUUCAGUGGUGUUGGAGUUUGGAGGACGGUCAAGUUCAAUUGGUUUUGCGCUUGGUAUUGUAUCAGUGGUGUUUUUGGUGGAAAUCGGUGAAGAGGCGACGCUAGGGGUUUUGUAACUCUGAUUUUGGACCCGUUUUUUGACUGAAAAUCAUCGCCUCCCCCUAUCGCUCUGUUGUUCUGUCCUCCAAAUUCUCUAUGUCCGUUCUUUGCUCUUAGCUCCCUCUAUUCAUUUAAACUCCAUUGUUUUGAGACCCAAUUUGAAAUCAAAAGGAAGAAACAGUAAUAUAUUUCUUGUAUUUUUCUUUCUAAAUCUCAAGCAUAAGGCUAAUUCAUAAAAAAACAAAAACUUCGCUUCCUUUAAUUUGUAUUUGGUCUUAAGGUGUGUUAUAGGUUGUGAAAAAAUGAAGAAGAACGGAUGGUUCCUCAAACGGCGGAUCUGAAGGUUUUUAGGUGUAUUUGUUAG
rnacentral:lncRNA from 1 species